CAGUAGCCACGGGAAUACGGAGGGGGCUAGCGUUGUUCGGAAUUACUGGGCGUAAAGCGCACGUAGGCGGCUUUACAAGUCAGAGGUGAAAGCCUGGUGCUCAACACCAGAAUUGCCUUUGAGACUGUAUCGCUUGAACGUCGGAGAGGUGAGUGGAAUUCCGAGUGUAGAGGUGAAAUUCGUAGAUAUUCGGAAGAACACCAGUGGCGAAGGCGGCUCACUGGACGACUGUUGACGCUGAGGUGCGAAAGCGUGGGGAGCAAACAGGAUUAGAUACCCCGGUAGUCCCUGUCUCUUAUAC
rnacentral:rRNA from 1 species